rnacentral:rRNA from 1 species
AGGGUUUCUUCUCAGUAACGUAGCUAACGCGUGAAGUUGACCGCCUGGGGAGUACGGCCGCGAGGUUGAAACUCAAAGGAAUUGACGGGGACCCGCACAAGCGGUGGAUGAUGUGGUUUAAUUCGAUGCAACGCGAAAAACCUUACCUACCCUUGACAUGCCAGGAAUCUUNCAGAGAUGUGAGAGUGCUCGAAAGAGAACCUGGACACAGGUGCUGCAUGGCCGUCGUCAGCUCGUGUCGUGAGAUGUUGGGUUAAGUCCCGCAACGAGCGCAACCCUUGUCAUUAGUUGCUACAUUUAGUUGGGCACUCUAAUGAGACUGCCGGUGACAAACCGGAGGAAGGUGGGGAUGACGUCAAGUCCUCAUGGCCCUUAUAGGUGGGGCUACACACGUCAUACAAUGGCCGGUACAAAGGGCUGCCAACCCGCGAGGGGGAGCUAAUCCCAUAAAACCGGUCGUAGUCCGGAUCGCAGUCUGCAACUCGACUGCGUGAGGUCGGAAUCGCUAGAAUCG